GUCUCAAUGGUCUAGUUGGUUAUGACAUGGGUCUCAUAAAAUACUAAUUUAUGACUCAAUCUCAGAUUGGGAUAUCCCGGGGUCCAGAGUUCGAUUCUCUGUUGGGACA